ACGCUCGACACCUACGGAGGCAGCAGUAGGGAAUCUUCCACAAUGGACGCAAGUCUGAUGGAGCAACGCCGCGUGAGUGAAGAAGGUUUUCGGAUCGUAAAGCUCUGUUGUUGGUGAAGAAGGAUAGAGGUAGUAACUGGCCUUUAUUUGACGGUAAUCAACCAGAAAGUCACGGCUAACUACGUACNCNNNCGCGUAGUAUGAGCGGCGUGNGAGAG
rnacentral:rRNA from 1 species